UUUUUCGAUUUUAAGACACUAACGGGGCUAUUCUGGAGUUGUGAUGCUCACAAGUCACAAUUUUUUGUGAGGUUUUUUUGUGAGGUUUCUUAUGAGGUUGUCACAAUUUCGUAUUCUGCGAAAAACCUCAUAAGAAACCUCACAACAAAUUCACCACGAUAGAGGAAAAGUGUAAACUUGGCGCAGUUCAAGACAUUCGUCGAGAUGGACUCCAACCUAUAGUGUACCAGGCAGUCAGAGAGACUCAAAAGAACGUGUAACUCAUCAAAAGAUGAGAUUAUAGUUUGGAAGUGUUUGGAUCACCGGCAUCGGAUGGCAUAAGUAGUUACCUAUUACAACGGCAAGUAGUAUUGAUUGCAUUAAAAUCAAGUCAUGCACAGAAACCAAUGGCUCUCAAAGCGCCCAUAUUAGGUUGAUCAAUUGAAGAGUGAAUGUGAAAAGAUUGCCACUUUGGCUUAAAGUAUCGGCAAAGGUGUCGCAACCCCAAUCGCUAGCCCGAAACUUAUUUCGAUCUCAUCCAAAGCAACAAAACUCCGCAAUCUUGUCAAAAAAAGGACGACAAAUUUGUUGUCCGUCUUGGUGGCAAUGAAGAACUACAAAAAUUUGAACUCUCUGGUUUGCUGGUACUGAGAAUCUGAUACGUUCAGACGAAUUAAGCUGGAAAACAAAGACAAACAUGGAAUUUAAAUACGAACUCAUAAAUGUUGACAAAUAAUUUUUCAAAACACGCUCACAAAUCGGACUCAAUAACCAAGCAUAUUUCAUGCACAAAUGCAUGACAUAUAACAAUUAUCUAACAACACUUCCAACUAAUGGAUUUCAACCUCCUCCAAAUCAUUUAUAUAAGUAAUUCAAUUUCACUUAUGAAUAAAUGGCUAUCUAUCAAAUUGAAUAUACCAAACAACCUUCGAUGUAGACAAAUUUCGUCAUCAACAAUAACAUCCAUAUACCUUAUUUACCAGACCGAAAAUUUCAACUCGAAGUAGGCUGUAAUUAUUAGAACUGCCAAAAAAAUAACAAACAAAAAAAAAAUGGAAGAUCAAACCAACUACAAUUGUGGAAUGGAUCAUUCACGACCGCGUCCGUCUGAUUAGAAAAAAAAUGGAUGUUCUGUACUCAAUCUGCUGGGGCUGCAUUUUCGUUUGUUCAAAAAAAAAAAAAUGAGGAAUAUGGAGUGACCUGAAAAGGCAAUUUCUUGGUUUGGGCUUUCAAGGCCAUAUUAGUUACAUGGGACAUCACAUUCGCACAUUUGUUUCCUAACGUCAUUGAGUUCCUGUUAGAUGCUCUAAUAUUCGAUGUGAUUUUUUGCAAAUGGGCGAGUAUACGUAAUACCUCUCGACAAAAGUGCAACAAAGCGGACAGUUGCAAUUUACUCCAGAGGACGUUGUAAUUAACUCCAGAGGUUUGGACUAGCAGGACUAACAUUCGAUGGCUGGUUCCGAAUUCGACACCCAUGUGGUUUGCUGCUGUGUUUAUUUUGGCGGGUGGGCUUAUUUAGUUUUGUCGUAUUUUAAGAGAUAACAAAGUAUCUUUUAAAUGCAACCAAAACAAUAUAUUGUGAUUGGAUGGAAGGUUAAUGACUGUUCGAGUAUUUGUUGCACCCUCUGUAUAGGUAAGAUUGAGAAUUAAUUUUUUUUAUUGAAAGAAGGUUUAUGAAAGAACAAAAUGCAAGAAAUAUUAUUUGGCUGUCGUGACAAAGUUUUUGUGUCCCCAUCUUCAAGAGUAUACAAAAACUCUCCAUCUGUUCUCAUCGGUUACGGAGGAAUCAACACUUG